CAGCAAACCAUCGGCACAGGUGGUCACGGCGGGCUUCACUUCAGAACCAUUUAGCAUCACUAACGGUACGAGGCAGGGAUGCCCACUCUCCCCCUUACUAUAUGUGUUGGCUUUAGAGCCGCUAGCGGAGACAAUACGGGCCAACAGCUCCAUACACGGAGUAACAGUGGGCGACAGGGAAUACAAAAUCAACUUGUUUGCGGACGAUGUCAUGCUGACACUAACGCAACCCCAAAUUUCACUACCAAACCUCAUGGAAGUCAUUAAAGAAUACGGCCUUAACUCCUACUACAAAUUAAAUGUCGCUAAAUCACAGGCUAUGGGUGUGGGAGUCCAGUCUCACCGACUGAAACACUUGAGUGAGCUUUUCUCAUUCGACUGGAGGAAGGAUUAUAUUACCUUCUUGGGCGUCCAUAUACCCCCCCACCUACCCCAUUUGUUUAAGCUAAACUUCACUAAACUGAUCAAAUCAUUUACAGACACGCUACACAC